UAGGGAAUCUUCGGCAAUGGACGAAAGUCUGACCGAGCAACGCCGCGUGAGUGAAGAAGGUUUUCGGAUCGUAAAACUCUGUUGUUAGAGAAGAACAAGGACGUUAGUAACUGAACGUCCCCUGACGGUAUCUAACCAGAAAGCCACGGCUAACUACGUGCCAGCAGCCGCGGUAAUACGUAGGUGGCAAGCGUUGUCCGGAUUUAUUGGGCGUAAAGCGAGCGCAGGCGGUUUCUUAAGUCUGAUGUGAAAGCCCCCGGCUCAACCGGGGAGGGUGAUUGGAAACUGGGAGGCUUGAGUGCAGAAGAGGAGAGUGGAAUUCCAUGUGUAGCGGUGAAAUGCGUAGAUAUAUGGAGGAACACCAGUGGCGAAGGCGGCUCUCUGGUCUGUAACUGACGCUGAGGCUCGAAAGCGUGGGGAGCAAACAGG
rnacentral:rRNA from 1 species